rnacentral:rRNA from 1 species
GAAUUCGCCCUUAGAGUUUGAUCCUGGCUCAGGAUGAACGCUGGCGGCGUGCUUAACACAUGCAAGUCGAACGAAGCGAUCGAGAGGAAGUUUUCGGAUGGAAUCCGGAUUGACUGAGUGGCGGACGGGUGAGUAACGCGUGGGUAACCUGCCUCAUACAGGGGGAUAACAGUUAGAAAUGACUGCUAAUACCGCAUAAGCGCACAGGGACACAUGUUCCGGUGUGAAAAACUCCGGUGGUAUGAGAUGGACCCGCGUCUGAUUAGCUGGUUGGCGGGGUAACGGCCCACCAAGGCGACGAUCAGUAGCCGACCUGAGAGGGUGACCGGCCACAUUGGGACUGAGACACGGCCCAAACUCCUACGGGAGGCAGCAGUGGGGAAUAUUGCACAAUGGGGGAAACCCUGAUGCAGCAACGCCGCGUGAGUGAAGAAGUAUUUCGGUAUGUAAAGCUCUAUCAGCAGGGAAGAAGAUGACGGUACCUGAGUAAGAAGCCCCGGCUAACUACGUGCCAGCAGCCGCGGUAAUACGUAGGGGGCAAGCGUUAUCCGGAUUCGCUGGGUGUAAAGGGAGCGUAGACGGCGACGCAAGUCUGGAGUGAAAGCCCGGGGCCCAACCCCGGGACUGCUCUGGAAACUGCGGCGCUGGAGUACGGGGAAGGGCAGGCAGAAAUUCUGGGGGUAGCGGGUGAAAUGCCUAAGAUAUCAGGAGGAACACCGGCGGGGAGGGGGCCUGGUGGACCGUAACUGACGUGAGGCUCGAGAGCGUGGGGAGCAAACAGGAUUAGAUACCCUGGUAGUCCACGCCGUAAACGAUGACUGCUAGGUGUCGGGGGACGACAGUGCCCCGGUGCCGCCGCAAACGCAGUAAGCAGUCCACCUGGGGAGUACGUUCGCAAGGUUGAAACUCAAAGGAAUUGACGGGGGCCCGCACAAGCGGUGGAGUAUGUGGUUUAAUUCGACGCAACGCGAAGAACCUUACCAGGGCUUGACAUCCUACUAACGAACCAGAGAUGGAUUAGGUGCCCUUCGGGGAAAGUAGAGACAGGUGGUGCAUGGUUGUCGUCAGCUCGUGUCGUGAGAUGUUGGGUUAAGUCCCGCAACGAGCGCAACCCCUAUUGUUAGUUGCUACGCAAGAGCACUCUAGCGAGACUGCCGUUGACAAAACGGAGGAAGGUGGGGAGGACGUCAAAUCAUCAUGCCCCUUACGUCCUGGGCCACACACGUACUACAAUGGCGGCCAACAAAGAGAGGCAAAGCCGCGAGGUGGAGCAAAUCUCAAAAAGCCGUCCCAGUUCGGAUCGCAGGCUGCAACCCGCCUGCGUGAAGUUGGAAUCGCUAGUAAUCGCGGAUCAGCAUGCCGCGGUGAAUACGUUCC